GCCGGUGGCAUUGUUUUCCUUGUGUAUCUACCUGAUUUGUAAUCAGAAGGUCGCGGGUUCGAUUCCUGCAACCGGCACCA
rnacentral:tRNA from 2 species